GUGGUCAUCGUAUAAUGGCAAUUACCAUCGGCCUUCCAGGCUGAUGGAUGCGGGUUCGAUUCCCGCUGACCACUCCA
rnacentral:tRNA from 1 species